rnacentral:rRNA from 1 species
AUUGAACGCUGGCGGCAGGCCUAACACAUGCAAGUCGAGCGGAUGAAGGGAGCUUGCUCCUGGAUUCAGCGGCGGACGGGUGAGUAAUGCCUAGGAAUCUGCCUGGUAGUGGGGGAUAACGUCCGGAAACGGGCGCUAAUACCGCAUACGUCCUGAGGGAGAAAGUGGGGGAUCUUCGGACCUCACGCUAUCAGAUGAGCCUAGGUCGGAUUAGCUAGUUGGUGGGGUAAAGGCCUACCAAGGCGACGAUCCGUAACUGGUCUGAGAGGAUGAUCAGUCACACUGGAACUGAGAAACGGUCCAGACUCCUACGGGAGGCAGCAGUGGGGAAUAUUGGACAAUGGGCGAAAGCCUGAUCCAGCCAUGCCGCGUGUGUGAAGAAGGUCUUCGGAUUGUAAAGCACUUUAAGUUGGGAGGAAGGGCAGUAAGUUAAUACCUUGCUGUUUUGACGUUACCAACAGAAUAAGCACCGGCUAACCUCGUG